rfam:Lactobacillus sanfranciscensis TMW 1.1304, complete genome.
GCUGAUUUAGCUUAGUUGGUAGAGCAUCGGCAUCGUAAACCGAAGGUCGGAGGUUCGACUCCUCUAAUCAGCA